CCGAGUUUACAACUCCCAACCCUUCUGUGAACCUACCCAUCGUUGCUUCGGCGGAACGCCCCGGCCCCCGAGGCCGGACCCAGGCGCCCGCCGGAGACCCCUAACCCUUCUGUAUUUUUCGAGCAUCAGCACCAUCGUCUGAGUGGCAAACGCAAAGAAUCAAUCA
rnacentral:misc_RNA from 1 species